rnacentral:rRNA from 1 species
CCUACGGGAGGCAGCAGUUAGGAAUCUUGGACAAUGGGCGCAAGCCUGAUCCAGCCAUGCCGCGUGAGUGAUGAAGGCCUUAGGGUUGUAAAGCUCUUUCAGCGGGGAAGAUAAUGACGGUACCCGCAGAAGAAGCCCCGGCUAACUUCGUGCCAGCAGCCGCGGUAAUACGAAGGGUGCAAGCGUUACUCGGAAUUACUGGGCGUAAAGCGUGCGUAGGUGGUUUGUUAAGUCUGAUGUGAAAGCCCUGGGCUCAACCUGGGAAUGGCAUUGGAUACUGGCGAGCUAGAGUGCGGUAGAGGGUAGUGGAAUUCCCGGUGUAGCAGUGAAAUGCGUAGAGAUCGGGAGGAACAUCUGUGGCGAAGGCGACUACCUGGACCAGCACUGACACUGAGGCACGAAAGCGUGGGGAGCAAACAGGAUUAGAUACCCUGGUAGUCCACGCCCUAAACGAUGCGAACUGGAUGUUGGGUGCAAUUAGGCACUCAGUAUCGAAGCUAACGCGUUAAGUUCGCCGCCUGGGGAGUACGGUCGCAAGACUGAAACUCAAAGGAAUUGACGG